GCGCAGCAGGCGCGAAUACUUUACAAUGUGCGAAAGCACGAUAAGGGAACUCUGAGUGCCUCCUAAGGAGGCUGUUCAGGUGUCUAAAAGCACCUGAAGGAAGGGCUGGGUAAGACCGGUGCCAGCCGCCGCGGUAACACCGGCAGCCCAAGUGGUAGCCACGUUUAUUGGGUCUAAAGCGUCCGUAGCCGGCUGGGUAAGUUCCUUGGGAAAUUUGGCUGCUUAACAGUCAAGCUUUCAGGGAAUACUGCCCGGCUUGGGGACCGGGAGAGGUCAGAGGUACUCCAGGGGUAGGGGUGAAAUCCAUUAAUCCUUGGGGGACCACCGGUAGCGAAGGCGUCUGACCAGACCGGGUCCGACGGUGAGGGACGAAGGCUAGGGGCGCGAACCGGAUUAGAUACCCGCGUAGU
rnacentral:rRNA from 1 species